rnacentral:lncRNA from 1 species
CAAGGAAAAAUGGCUAAACUGCCCUUUAUAAGACAAAGGGGAAAGGACCACUGAGAUAUUAGUCUUGGUACAUACUGAUAUGUGUGGUCCAUUCGAUGACAAGCUAGGGUAGCUUGUUGGGAGAUGUGUCCCAAAGCCAAUCAUCAGCCUGUAGACGAUUGUGCUCAUACUUGUAAAUGUAUAUGAAUUUUCAUUAAUAAAAGUUAUUUGGCUUUUUUCUUACAAAUUGUCCAUCUUAUUUUGAACUCCUACGCUGUAAUGAAAUCCUCAGAACUAUAAUUAUCGACAAAAGAGGAUUUAUCGUUUAGUCCUUAAAAGUAUUCGUGAUCGAAUGAUAUGCUAUUAAUAGGACGAUAGUAAUAUCGAGUAUAGGUCGUUGUGUGCCAUAUGAAUUGGUUGUCCUCUUAACCAAUGAGUGUGGAGACAUUGUUAUGGAAUGCAGAUGGAAUGUAGGAGUACAUUCGCAUCGAAUGUGAUCAUUUGUCGAGCACUCUACUGUCAAGAGUAGCUCCUGAAGAGUAUGGGUAUAAGUGUCCCUCAGACUUGAGAUCUCCACGGUGACUUUUAAGCAACUCACUGUACUUUAGUACCAGACCAUCUGAG